CGAAUGAAAUUUUAUGUGGUCGUAUUUUGCUGAUGCUGCGUCUGCGAUCUAUCCAUGGCCUUCGUUACUGAUACCAGUGGAAUGUGCCGGUCGCGUGGCUGCUUGGCCUUGCUGAGGUUGCAUUUUGUGUGUCCGGUGAUCGCCCUGCUGAUGUCGGUGAAUCGUACGAGGUUAUAUUGAAUCAUGGAUACUGACAUGUCUGGAGCUGUAGAGUGUAAGAAAAAGAAAAGGAAUAGAGGGAAGCGCAGGCCGUUCGUACCUCCUGUGGUCGAAGUGGUACAUACAAAUGCCUGCGCCAAGGUCCGUUUUCCGGAGGAAAUUCCUGAUGGAGUGUUGAAGCCUAUCAAUUUCUAUUUUAUUCUCCAUCUUACCCUCGCAUAUUAAUUAUAUCUAUAUAUAUGAAUAAUUAACUAUGUUUAAUAAAUUUUAUCAAAGAAU